rnacentral:tRNA from 1 species
UGGUCUAUAGCACAAUUGGCAGUGCAGCCGACUGUUAAUCGGCAGGUUGCAGGUUCGAGUCCUGCUAGACCAG